AAAAACAUCCGCCUCUCUCCCUAUCUUCUCUCUCUUCCCUCUCUCUAACUUUCUCUCUCUCUCUCUCAAACCAAAACAACCGAUGCCGCCUUCAUCGACGACCACCGUUAAGCCGUUUUUCCCCUCCCCGAGGUUUUCCGUUGCUGCACAGCAUCCAUGCAGCCGCCACAGCCAUCAACGCCAGCCGUCGCCACCGGCGGACUCAACAACUUCCGUAGGUUAGCAGGAUAUCAUAUGUCUGAUUGACAUCACAUCCAACUUGGUACUCUCGAACAUCAUCAUGGACACUCUCCAUGGAUGUACCUGAGUCAAUUCUCUAUGCAGGAAGCCUGUCUCAUUUAUCUGACUUUGUAAAGAAUGUGAAAUCUCACUUUCGUACAAAAGUCGUGGUGCGUGAUGAUUGCAUCAGUCUGAAAGGGGAAGGUGCUCCUAAUGUUGUUGGCCUCUUCAAAGGAAAGACUGAUAGUAUUUUCCCUAUGAACAGAUAUGACUGUGACUUGCCAGAUCUUCUAAUGGUAUUAUUGUAGCAGCAUCAAGCAAUUUAGUACAAGCAUCCUCUUGUGGUGGAGAGGUCUUGCUCGACCGUUGGAAGUUAAAAGAUUUUUUAAAUGAUGAACGCCCAUAUCAAGAAGACAACCAAGAGGAUGAAAGUGAUGAUGACUCUGACGAUGUGAAUGAAAGUGAUUCAAGUUUGAAAUAUUUUUUUUUGGAUCAUUUAAGAAUCAUACAUUAUUGAUGUGGAUGUUUUGAAUUUUUUUUCUUAGCUGUAAUUAUUUACAUUAGACUUGUAUUGGAUGAUAUUUUAGAGAAUUAUUGAAGGUUUUGAAUAGAUUUUUGAUUAAUUGUGAAAUAUUUGUAGUAAUUUACGUGAAUUAUUAUUUGAGAA